rnacentral:rRNA from 1 species
UACGUAGGGGGCGAGCGUUGUCCGGAAUUAUUGGGCGUAAAGCGCGCGCAGGCGGACCAGUCAGUCGGGCGUGAAAGCCCCCGGCUCAACCGGGGCGGGUCGCUCGAGACGGCUGGUCUGGAGGGAGUGAGAGGGGGGUGGAAGGCCCGGUGGAGCAGUGAAAUGCGUAGAGACCGGGCGGAACACUCGUGGCGAAGGCGGCCCCCUGGGGCUCACCUGACGCUGAGGCGCGAAGGCCAGGGGAGCGAACGGG